UACGUAGGCAGCAAGCGUUGUUCGGAAUUACUGGGCGUAAAGGGUGCGUAGGCGGUGUACUAAGUUUGGUGUGAAAUCUCCCGGCUCAACUGGGAGGGUGCGCCGAAAACUGGGACACUCGAGUGUGGGAGAGGAAAGCGGAAUUCCUGGUGUAGCGGUGAAAUGCGUAGAGAUCAGGAGGAACACCUGCGGUGUAGACGGCUUUCUGGACCAUAACUGACGCUGAGGCACGAAAGCGUGGGUAGCAAACAGG
rnacentral:rRNA from 2 species